rnacentral:rRNA from 1 species
UUGCACCGAGCGGAUGAGUUGCGAACGGGUGAGUAACGCGUAGGUAACCUGCCUCUUAGCGGGGGAUAACUAUUGGAAACGAUAGCUAAUACCGCAUAAAAGUCGAUAUCGCAUGAUAUUGAUUUGAAAGGUGCAAUUGCAUCACUAAGAGAUGGACCUGCGUUGUAUUAGCUAGUUGGUGAGGUAACGGCUCACCAAGGCGACGAUACAUAGCCGACCUGAGAGGGUGAUCGGCCACACUGGGACUGAGACACGGCCCAGACUCCUACGGGAGGCAGCAGUAGGGAAUCUUCGGCAAUGGGGGCAACCCUGACCGAGCAACGCCGCGUGAGUGAAGAAGGUUUUCGGAUCGUAAAGCUCUGUUGUAAGAGAAGAACGAGUGUGAGAGUGGAAAGUUCACACUGUGACGGUAACUUACCAGAAAGGGACGGCUAACUACGUGCCAGCAGCCGCGGUAAUACGUAGGUCCCGAGCGUUAUCCGGAUUUAUUGGGCGUAAAGCGAGCGCAGGCGGUUAGAUAAGUCUGAAGUUAAAGGCUGUGGCUUAACCAUAGUACGCUUUGGAAACUGUUUAACUUGAGUGCAGAAGGGGAGAGUGGAAUUCCAUGUGUAGCGGUGAAAUGCGUAGAUAUAUGGAGGAACACCGGUGGCGAAAGCGGCUCUC